GAAUGGCUCAUUAAAUCAGCUAUGGUUCCUUAGAUCGUACCUACUACAUGGAUAACUGUAGUAAUUCUAGAGCUAAUACAUGCCACUAUGCCCUGACCCGCAAGGGGACGGGUGGAUUUAUUAGAACAGAACCAACCGGUUGUGGCUCCGGUCGCAACCGUGGUACUGUGAUGACUCUGGAUAACUUCACCGAUCGCAGUCGGCCUUGUGUCGGCGACGGAUCUUUCAAAUGUCUGCCCUAUCAAUUUUCGAUGGUAGAUUAUCUGCCUACCAUGGUGAUAACGGGUAACGGGGAAUCAGGGUUCGAUUCCGGAGAGGGAGCCUGAGAAACGGCUACCACUUCCAAGGAAGGCAGCAGGCGCGUAACUUACCCAAUCCCAGAACAGGGAGGUAGUGACGAAAAAUAUGAAUGCGGGACUCUUUAGAGGCUCCGUAAUUCAAAUGAGUACAAUUUAAAUCCUUUAACGAGGAUCAACUGGAGGGCAAGUCUGGUGCCAGCAGCCGCGGUAAUUCCAGCUCCAGAAGCGUAUAUUAAAGUUGUUGCAGUUAAAAAGCUCGUAGUUGGAUCUGGGUCGCAUGGCUACAUGCUGAUAUUUGUACGCCGGAUUUCGGUCUGGUGUGCUUGUCGGCGUCGUGGUUGUGCAGCCUUUCUGCCGUGUCUGUUUCGACAGGUGCUGAUUGAAUUCGUUCGUCGGCAUGCUCCUUGAUGUCUUUAACCGGGUGUCGGGAGCGGACGGCAAGUUUACUUUGAACAAAUUUGAGUGCUCAAAGCGGGCCAUUGUGCCUGAAAAUUCUUGCAUGGAAUAAUGGAAUAGGACUUCGGUUCUAUUUUGUUGGUUUUCGGAUCCGAAGUAAUGGUUAAGAGGGACAGACGGGGGCAUUUGUAUGGCGGUGUUAGAGGUGAAAUUCUUGGAUCGCCGCCAGACAAACUACAGCGAAAGCAUUUGCCAAGGAUGUUUUCAUUGAUCUGGAGCGAAAGUCAGAGGUUCGAAGACGAUCAGAUACCGUCCUAGUUCUGACCAUAAACGAUGCCAACUGACGAUCCGUGGUGGGUUUUUAAUUGUCCCCACGGGCAGCCUCCGGGAAACCCUUAAGUCUUUGGGCUCCGGGGGAAGUAUGGUUGCAAAGCUGAAACUUAAAGGAAUUGACGGAAGGGCACCACCAGGAGUGGAGCCUGCGGCUUAAUUCGACUCAACACGGGAAAACUCACCCGGCCCGGACACUGUGAGGAUUGACAGAUUGAUAGCUCUUUCUUGAUUCAGUGGUUGGUGGUGCAUGGCCGUUCUUAGUUGGUGGAGCGAUUUGUCUGGUUAAUUCCGAUAACGAACGAGACUUUAUCCUGCUAAAUAGAGUGCCUGUCCCCUGUGCCUGUUUCGACGGCGGUGUUCAUUGCUCUUCGGGGUAGUGAGAUCGUCAAUCGGCUGGUGCUAUGCGGGUAUCCACUUCUUAGAGGAACAAGCGGCCGAAAGUCGCACGAAAAUGAGCAAUAACAGGUCUGUGAUGCCCUUAGAUGUCCGGGGCCGCACGUGCGCUACAAUGACGGUUCCAACUAGUGUGAGAUCCUGGCUUGAAAAGGCUGGGUAAACUGUAUCAUAACCGUCGUGACUGGGAUCGGGGCUUGCAAUUGUUCCCCGUAAACGAGGAAUUCCUGGUAAGUGCAAGUCAUUAACUUGCGCUGAUUACGUCCCUGCCCUUUGUACACACCGCCCGUCGCUACUACCGAUUGAAUGGUUUAGCAAGGUCAUUGGAUUGGUGCUAUUGUAGUUGCAACCGCGACUCGACCAGUGCCGAGAAGACGACCGAACUUGAUCAUUUAGAGGAAGUAA
rnacentral:rRNA from 1 species